rnacentral:rRNA from 1 species
GACGAACCGUGCGAACGUUGUUCGGAAUCACUGGGCUUAAAGGGAGCGUAGGCGGGCUAUCAAGUCUGGGGUGAAAUGCCGCGGCUCAACCGUGGAACUGCCUUAGAUACUGACGGCCUCGAGGGAGAUAGGGGCAUGCGGAACUGUAGGUGGAGCGGUGAAAUGCGUUGAUAUCUACAGGAACUCCGGUGGCGAAAGCGGCGUGCUGGAUCUCUUCUGACGCUGAGGCUCGAAAGCUAGGGGAGCAAACGGG